AGGGGGUACGUCGGGGGAUAAGUUUUAUUCAGAUCUCUCACUCUUAUCUCUUCUUUCUUACACACUCUCCCUAUUAUCCAAUUAAUCUCUUCCUUCUCUUAUUAGAACAAGUCCAAAAAUAGUAAGGACAAGUUUAAUUUUAGGAUAAGAGUUUAGCAAGAGAAUUAAGGAAGACAAGGAGAGAAGAAAGGUAGGGAUAAGAAGGCUAGG
rnacentral:lncRNA from 1 species